rnacentral:lncRNA from 10 species
GGGCUCUGGAAUGUCCAUGUGAGCCCCCGGGAGGCUGGGAAUUGGCUGCGAGUUGGGCUGAGAAGCUUUCCUCUCGGGGCUGGAGCAGCAGGGUCACAGGACCCAUACCUAAGCAUCCCGGGACUGACCACCUACCUACACUGAGCAUCACAAGCGAGGCACAGCCAGACCUGAGGGCCCCUGUAGGUGACGUGAGGCCUCUGCCCAAGACAGAGAAAGCAGGAUGGGGUUCUCUGGCUGUGGACCACAGGCAAGUAGACAAGAGACACUGCUUUGGAGAUGGAGGAUUAGGAGGAGAACAAGGUCCCAUGUCAUGCAGCUUUUGCUAGGUGAGACGCAGUAUUUUUACUUUUGGAAAUGGAUCCAAACGAAACAAUCAGAAAUGUGCAUAAAGGUGUACCACGGGAAAUGACCUAAACAUCCGUCAACAGGCGUUGGUUAAAUACAUUAUGUCACAUUUAUGCAACUAAAUUUUAUGCAGCCUUUAAGAAGUAAAGAUCAUGACUGCUCCUCUUGGUUUGUGUCUUAGGCAUGCUUUGAAGAAGCAUGAGAGAAGUCUGUGAACAGAAGGGGUUGGGCCCCUCUGUCAGCACCCCUGGGUAGUUCUUGGGGAGGCAGGGAGGCCAGGAAGAGGGGAAGUGAGACUCAGCUCCAAGUAAUCCUGACCCAGGGGAGGGGAGGGUGCGACUGGCCAGCGGACAGCCUGAGCUCUGGCCCUGGCUCCAGGCUCUGGGUUUAAAGAGCUUUAAAAGCUUAUUAAAAAGGUUCCUUCGACAUCAAAUGGCUCUUAAAAAUCAAUAUUUUGAUGAUUUAAGUGCAAGAGAAUCAGAAACAUAUGGAUCAAAUUGCCCUAAAAUUAUACACACUUAAAAAAAUGUGUUGGUCUUUAGCAAGAUCCAAAUAUUUGAAAAACAGAGACAUUUUCCUCAUCUCCUGACAGAGCUCUGCUAGGCUCACGCCUAUUAUCCCAACACUUUGGGAGGCUGAGGCGGGCGUAUCACCUGAGGUCAGGAGUUCGAGACUAGCCUGGUCAACAUGGUGAAACCCCAUGUCUACUAAAAAUACAAAAUUAGCUGGGCAUGAUGGCGCAUACCUGUAGUCUCAGCUAUAUGGGGGGUUGAGGUACGACAAUUGCUUGAACCCAGGAGGUGGAGGCUGCAGUGAGUGAGAUCACACCACUGCACUCCAGCCUGGGCAACAGAGUGAGACCCUAUCUCAAAACAAAACAAAACACAAAACACCUUCUUAGGCAGGAACUGAGUCUGCUGCCAGUCACAAGCUCCACCCAUCACACCCCUCCUCUCAUGCCCCACCUGGAUCUCAGUUGUGGCUGAUGAGUGAUUUUGGCAGUCACUACCUAGGCUAAUGACGCUUGUCACAGAGCGUGUGUGACUGCAGGAGACUGCAGGAGAUGGGGGCACUGGAACACAUCUGGCCUCUAUCUGCCUCAGCUGCUACCUUGGGGCACAUCUUCCACCCCCAGUGCCCCCCUCACACUGGGGACAGGGCUG